rnacentral:rRNA from 1 species
GACUCUCAGCAACAUAUAUCUAGGCUCUUGCAUCAAUGAAGAACGUAGUGAAAUGCGAUACUUGGUGUGAAUUGCAGAAUCAUGUGUACCAUCGAGUCUUUGAACGCAAGUUGCGCCCGAUGCCAUUAGGUUGAGGGAACGUCUGUUUGGGCGUCA